UCGAGCGGAAACGAGUUAUUUGAACCUUCGGGGGACAAUAACGGCGUCGAGCGGCGGACGGGUGAGUAAUGCCUGGGAAUAUGCCUUGAUGUGGGGGAUAACCAUUGGAAACGAUAGCUAAUACCGCAUAAUGCCUUCGGGCCAAAGAGGGGGACCUUCGGGCCUCUCGCGUCAAGAUUAGCCCAGGUGGGAUUAGCUAGUUGGUGAGGUAAUGGCUCACCAAGGCAACGAUCCCUAGCUGGUCUGAGAGGAUGAUCAGCCACACUGGAACUGAGACACGGUCCAGACUCCUACGGGAGGCAGCAGUGGGGAAUAUUGCACAAUGGGCGCAAGCCUGAUGCAGCCAUGCCGCGUGUGUGAAGAAGGCCUUCGGGUUGUAAAGCACUUUCAGUAGGGAGGAAGGUGUUGUCGUUAAUAACGGCAUCAUUUGACGUUACCUACAGAAGAAGCACCGGCUAACUCCGUGCCAGCAGCCGCGGUAAUACGGAGGGUGCGAGCGUUAAUCGGAAUUACUGGGCGUAAAGCGCAUGCAGGUGGUGAGUUAAGUCAGAUGUGAAAGCCCGGGGCUCAACCUCGGAACUGCAUUUGAAACUGGCUUACUAGAGUACUGUAGAGGGGGGUAGAAUUUCAGGUGUAGCGGUGAAAUGCGUAGAGAUCUGAAGGAAUACCGGUGGCGAAGGCGGCCCCCUG
rnacentral:rRNA from 1 species